ensembl:lncRNA
CCGAUGCCGAGGUCGUUCCCGAGGCGGUGUCCUUGUCCGAUGCCAUUCCCGAGGCCGUUCCUGAGGCCAUUCCCGAGGCGGUGCCCGAUGCCGAGGUCGUUCCCGAGGCGGUGUCCUUGUCCGAUGCCGUUCCUGAGACCGUUCCCGAGGCGGUGCCCGAUGCCGAGGUCGUUCCCGAGGCGGUGUCCUUGUCCGAUGCCGUUCCUGAGGCCAUUCCCGAGGCGGUGCCCGAUGCCGAGGUCGUUCCCGAGGCGGUGUCCUUGUCCGAUGCCAUUCCCGAGGCCGUUCCUGAGACCGUUCCCGAGGCGGUGCCCGAUGCCGAGGUCGUUCCCGAGGCGGUGUCCUUGUCCGAUGCCAUUCCCGAGGCCGUUCCUGAGGCCAUUCCCGAGGCGGUGCCCGAUGCCGAGGUCGUUCCCGAGGCGGUGUCCUUGUCCGAUGCCGUUCCCGAGGCCAUUCCCGAGGCGGUGCCCGAUGCCGAGGUCGUUCCCGAGGCGGUGUCCUUGUCCGAUGCCGUUCCUGAGGCCAUUCCCGAGGCGGUGCCCGAUGCUGUUCCGGAGGCCGAUGCGCGGCCCGAGAUGGUUCCGGAGGCGAUACCCGUGUCCAAGGCCGUUCCCGAGGCGGUGCCCUUGUCUGAGGCCGUUCCCGAUGCCGUUCCCAAUGCCGUGACCGGGCCAUCGCCACAGCCUGCUCCUUACUGGCUCCCCGAUUGGCUGGUUCCGUUCGGGUCACUCAAAUGGCGAAUUCCUCCCUGGCCGUCUGCACAACGAGAAUGGACUGAUCCACCGUGGCCACCUGAACUGCCUGGCCCCUCGUGGUCCCCUGAACUUUCGGGUCCACCGUGGCCACCUGAACUGCCUGGUCCCUCGUGGUCCCCUGAACUUUCGGGCCCACCAUGGCCCCCUGAUCUGACCGAGCCACCUGGGCUACCAGGGGAGCCAUCGCUGCCGGUCCCAGUUCCCCUACACGGGCCUGGCCCGCCAUCCCUCCCCCUGUUCUGCCUCCACCAGUCCACCUCCCUCCUGGUCUCUUUGUUU